UGGUUCCGGCAUCGAUGAAGAACGCAGCGAAAUGCGAUAAGUAAUGUGAAUUGCAGAAUUCAGUGAAUCAUCGAAUCUUUGAACGCACAUUGCGCCCUCUGGUAUUCCGGGGGGCAUGCCUGUUCGAGCGUCAUUGGAAACCCUUCAAGCGGUCCGCUUGGUGUUGGGCGCCGUCGCGUGUCGACGCGCCCCGAAUUGCAACUGGCUGCGGGUACCGACUCCCAGCGCGGCGAGGCGCCACAGCGUCAUGCGUCACGGCGGGUCGGGCCCUGCCGGCCACCAAAACUUCCGUCAGCUUGACCUCGGAUCAGGUAGGGAUACCCGCUGA
rnacentral:misc_RNA from 1 species